rnacentral:rRNA from 1 species
UACGAAGGGGGCUAGCGUUGCUCGGAAUCACUGGGCGUAAAGGGCGCGUAGGCGGCACUGUUAGUCAGGGGUGAAAUCCUGGAGCUCAACUCCAGAACUGCCUUGAUACUGAAGAUCUUGAGUUCGGGAGAGGUGAGUGGAACUGCGAGUGUAGAGGUGAAAUUCGUAGAUAUUCGCAAGAACACCAGUGGCGAAGGCGGCUCACUGGCCCGAUACUGACGCUGAGGCACGAAAGCGUGGGGAGC